UAACCACCCCCAACUGCUACCACCCAAGAUAAGCAGGUGUGGCUCUGGGCCCCUCAGCAGCAGGCCAGUGGAGAGGUGAGACUAGCAGUGUGUGGCCUGGGACAGGAGUAGAUAAAAGGCAGCCAUGGUGUGCUCCACUGGGCACCACAACAUACGGUUCAGACGUUUAAAGCCUGUCUCAGCCCAAUUUCCUCUCCAUUUGCUCCCUGGGUAAGUGGUGGAGUCUAGAAGUCUGAGAUCAGGGCACCAGCCUGGCCGAGUUCUGAUGGCGUCUCGCUUUGUCACCCAGGCUGGAGUGCAGUGGCGCGAUCUCGGUUCACUGCAACAUCUACCUCCCAGGUUCAAGUGAUUCUCCUGCCUUAGCCUCCCGAGUAGCUGGGAUUACAGGCACCCACCACCACAUCCGGCGAAUUUUUUGUAUUUUUAGUAGAGACAGGGUUUCACCAUGUUGGCCAGGAUGGUCUUGAUUUCCUGACCUGGUGAUCUGCCCACCUUGGCCUCCCAAACUGCUGGGAUUGCAGGCGUGAGCCACCGUGCCUGGCCGACCACUGAUCUUUUCACUGUAUCCACAGUGUUGCCUUUUCCAGAAUGUCAUAGAAUUUGAAUCAUACUAUAUGUUGCCCUUUCAGAUGAGUUUCUUUCACUUACUAAUAUUCAUUUGUUUCCUCCAUGUCUUUUGGCUUGAUAAUUCAUUUCUUUUUAUCACUGAAUAAUAUUCCAUUGUCUGAUGUACCACAGUUUAUUUACGCAUUUACCUACUGAAGGAUAUCAGGACAUCUUAGUUGCCUCUGAGUUUUUGGCAAUUAUGAAUAAAACUGCUAUAGAAAGAUGUGUGCAGGUUUUUCUGUGGAUAUAGUUUUCAACUCCUUUGGGUAACUCCAAGGAGUGUGGUCGCUGGAUCAUAUAGUAAGAGUAUGUGUAGUUUUGUAACAAAUAGCCAAAUGUUCUCCAAAGUGGCAUUAGCAUUUUGCUUUCCCACCAGCAAGGAAUAAGAGUUCCUGUUGCUCUGUAUCCUCACCAGCAUUUGGUGGUGUCAGUGUUCUGGAUUUUGGCCAUUGUAAUAAAUGUGUGGUGUUAUCUCAUUGUUGUUUUAAUUUGCAUUUGCCUGAUGACAUACAAUGUGGAACAUCUUUUUAUUGAAGCUAAUGUUUUAAGCCUGGCAAUUUAGUCUCUUCUCUUCCUGUAACCCUGAGCCACUGAGCACAGCUUUCUCCAGAAGCACCUGUGAGUCACUAUACACCACUGCUAUCUCCUGAAUGCUGGAGGCACUGGAGUGGGCCCUUUCAACUUUCAUUUUCUUAUUACCUAGAGAACUUGGCAUUGGUAGAUGCCCAAAAAAUGUAUGUGAGAUGCCUGCACAUUAAAAGACUGGCUGAAAACUUAAGCAGUAUACUGGUUUAGAUCAUUCAUCGCUGUCGGCAAGAGUAAAAAGCUAUGUAGCAGCAU
rnacentral:lncRNA from 10 species